UAUUUUCCCCCACCCAGCUGGGCUGAGCGUUCGCUCAUUUUGAACACAUUAGGAGCCAUUUUUAGCAGAGUGGAAUCAGGCACCUUGCUGGGCAUCACUCAAGUGGGCAGCGGCAGCUCAAAACCAGAACCUGAGGCCAACCUCUUUGCCCAUCACUUCAACUGUCCCUUAAGUUCCUUUUCUCUAAGGUCAAACCUUAGAGAGGCAGGCUGGGAGCUUAUACCAGCGAGCUGACCUUCCGGCAGCCGCCCAGCCUCCGUGUAACAGAUACACCCUACACUGGCAACCACAGUAAGGGCAACUGGACUUCUCUCUACACAGCACUCGGGGAUGGCUGGCUGCUGAGCAAGCCUAAGCCGACCCCAGGUCCUCCCAAGGUCUAAAGCUUUCCCAAGCCUCCCGGAGAGCUCCGAGACCCGCUCAUCAUCGCCACGGCCAAGCCCCUACCCCCUUCGCUGUCAUCACAGCUACAUUCAACACAGCCGGGAAGCAAACGGCUUCUUUGGUGACUUUCACACGAUAGGAAGGUACCCGGAAGGAUCCUCAUCAGGGACUGCAGGGAGUGGAAGUGGGCUAGUGAUUUGGGAGAGCCGGGUGUCCCCAAGCUGGAGAUGAUCUCUGAGAAAGGCCAACGGCUGGUGGUGACAGAGAGGAUUCUACUUGCAGCAAUGCGUGCAUUGGAAAGAUUAUAGCUGGAAUUCAGCUGAAACCUAAGAAUCUAAAAUGUGCUGAACAAAUUGAGACAAAUGCUAUCUAAACCAGCAGCUGCAAAGAUGCUCGAGUCUCACAAGUUUGUACUACCGUGGCCUGAGCCAGAGUCCAAGUCAGAAAAAUCCUCAUCUUGAGCAACAGAUAAGAGCCGGAACCAUGACCAGGUUUGUGGAGUUCUCGGUGCACUAUGGGAAAGGAUGCUGCCUGUUGCCUGGGGGUUUUGGUGCAUUAUGGGAGUAAAUGCUAAAAGACUGAAAAGUCCAAGGCCCAGGAAGGGUGACCAACCCUGCGGGAGGGAGUAGGCAACAGAGGGCCUCCAGGCUGAGAUACACUUUCAAUGCCUAGCUGUCCUAAGUCCUUGAAUGGCUAGUGAGACCUCUGUGAGCUCUUCUCUGUCUUUCCUAGAUCUGAAAGAGGAGGAAGUGUGAAGGGGACCUUUUAAAAUGUACCCAGUUGGGAGCAAAGAGCAAAGUCGCAGGGCUUAGUGGAAAGGGGACAAUGGGAACAAUAGCCAGGGAUAUCAGUUCCAAAUGCAAACACCUGCAGAAUGUAAACCUCAGUUUGGCCUCCUGCCGGUUUGUGAUGAGGUUCACUAGUGUGAAAACUAAGCCAAAAGACAAAGGGUCCUACAAAAGAGCACUCAGGCUUCAACCACGGCCCAGUACAGGCCUGGGGAAACACGAGCCAGGACUGCUCCAAGGACCGCCCAGAUUCCACUGUUUGCAUCAGUACCAUGGUACCAUUCCUCACAGAGGCAACGUGCAUGGCUUUGAUUUGUCUGAUUUUAAUCUUUCUCUACCAGGUGAGGUGUCCCCAUAACUCACUUUUGAGUCUGAAAACACUGCUUAAAAUAAAAAGCAGCAGCAGCAGCCCUGGGGUGAAGAAAGGAAAAAAUCUAAGAAAUGCUGCUCUCCCUGUUUGCACGGUGUGUAAACCACUCAUUACCGCCACUCAUCACCGCUGCAGAUCUUCCUGUCCCCAAAUCGCCAGAAACGAAUUCCAAUGCGGCGCUAACCCUCAGUUAAAAUUCAAAUCACACCAAUCUACUCAGACAUCUUCAGCAAUUACUCAUUAAAGCCUAGGUUCAAAGCGCCUUUGCCGAGAGCAAAACGUUCCAGCGGCCUUAUACGCAACACUAAAAUACACAAGUUAAUUUUAUUAUAGAGUAUUUAUUCCAUCUGAUUUGUCCCAAAUUCUCUCGGUUUCACCUCACCCUCUUUUUCUCUUUGCAGUGCUGGAGAUUAAACCUGCAGCUCCAUGUAUUCUAGGCAGAGCAGGACCAGUCUCAGCCUUCAAAAUUCUCAUGUUAAUCUAUUUUUCUAAUUUUGUAUCAGGUCUUCAGGAUCCAGUGUACAUAAAACAUUCACAGUGCACCUCAGCUGGAACAGUAAAUUUGCAGACAUCAACAUGAAACGUAUUUUUCCCCCAAUGCUGGGUGUGAACGUAGGGCCUCGCACAUCCAUGCUAGUCAAGUACUCUACCACUGAGCUAUAUUCCCAGCCUGAGAAGCCCUUUAAAAAUGAUAACUGUAGGGGCUGGAGAGAUGGCUCAGCAGCUAAGAACACUGGCUGCUCUUCCAGAGGACCCAGGUUCUAUUCCCAGCACCCAUGUGGCAGUUCACAACUGUC